UACGAAGGGGGCUAGCGUUGCUCGGAAUUACUGGGCGUAAAGGGCGCGUAGGCGGGUUGCUAAGUUAGAGGUGAAAGCCCAGGGCUCAACCCUGGAAUUGCCUUUAAUACUGGCAGCCUUGAGUAUGGCAGAGGUGUGUGGAACUCCGAGUGUAGAGGUGAAAUUCGUAGAUAUUCGGCGGAACACCAGUGGCGAAGGCGACUCACUGGCCCGAUACUGACGCUGACUGCGCGAAAGCGUGGGGAGCAAACAGGGAUUAAGAAACCCCAGU
rnacentral:rRNA from 1 species